rnacentral:rRNA from 1 species
AUACGGAGGGUGCAAGCGUUGUUCGGAAUCAUUGGGCGUAAAGAGCGUGUAGGCGGCUUGGUAAGUCGGGUGUGAAAUCCCGGGGCCCAACCCCGGAACUGCAUUCGAAACUGCCUCGCUAGAGUCUCGGAGAGGAAGGCGGAAUUCCCGGUGUAGAGGUGAAAUUCGUAGAUAUCGGGAGGAACACCAGCGGCGAAGGCGGCCUUCUGGACGAUGACUGACGCUGAGACGCGAAAGCGUGGGGAGCAAACAGGAGUAGAAACCCCUGUAGUCC